rnacentral:rRNA from 1 species
GAUGAACGCUAGCGGCAGGCUUAACACAUGCAAGUCGAGGGGUAGAGGUUGCUUGCAACCUUGAGACCGGCGCACGGGUGCGUAACGCGUAUGCAACCCACCUUUUACAGAGGGAUAGCCCAGAGAAAUUUGGAUUAAUACCUCAUAGUAUAUAACCUUCGCAUGUUGGUUAUAUUACAGUUCCAACGGUAAAAGAUGGGCAUGCGUCCUAUUAGCUAGAUGGUAAGGUAACGGCUUACCAUGGCAACGGUAGGUAGGGGUCCUGAGAGGGAGAUCCCCCACACUGGUACUGAGACACGGACCAGACUCCUACGGGAGGCAGCAGUGAGGAAUAUUGGACAACGGGCGCAAGCCUGAUCCAGCCAUGCCGCGUGCAGGAAGAAGCAUCUAUGGUGUGUAAACUGCUUUUGUACAGGAAGAAACACCCCGACGUGUCGGGGCUUGACGGUACUGUAAGAAUAAGGAUCGGCUAACUCCGUGCCAGCAGCCGCCGUAA